rfam:Hydnomerulius pinastri MD-312 unplaced genomic scaffold scaffold_8, whole genome shotgun sequence.
GGUCAUAUAGUGUAGUGGUUAUCACUCGGGAUUUUGACAUGGAUAAGCGCAUGACGUCUUCCCGAAACCCAGGUUCGAACCCUGGUAUGACCU